GUCAACUACUCGGCACUGAAGUACCGAGCUUGUCUCGAUAACAGAAGUGCGUUCCUUUGAACAAGUUGACUACCCUAAGUCUUGAAACAGAGGCUACGUUAUACAAGAAUAUAUAGUCACCGGUGGGCGUUUGCUCUAACCUGCUGCUCUGAGGUAUGUGGUUAAACCAUUCUGUCGGGUAGGAAUCGUGCUGCAUAUGUAAAACCUUGUAUAACUUUGGGGAAGGGCAUCUUAC
rfam:Clostridium sp. CAG:678 genomic scaffold, scf125